CGGAGGGUGCGAGCGUUGUCCGGAAUCAUUGGGCGUAAAGGGCGCGUAGGUGGCCCGGUCAGUCUUUGGCGAAAGCGCGGGGCUCAACCCUGCGUCGGCCAGGGAUACUGCCGCGGCUCGAGCACUGUAGAGGCAGGCGGAAUUCCGGGUGUAGCGGUGGAAUGCGUAGAGAUCCGGAAGAACACCGGUGGCGAAGGCGGCCUGCUGGGCAGUUUUGCUGACACUGAGGCGCGACAGCGUGGGGAGCAAACAGGAUUAGAUACCCUGGUAGUCCACGCCGUAAACGAUGGGCACUAGGCGCUUGGGGGAGCGACCCCCCGAGGGCCGGCGCUAACGCAUUAAGUGCCCCGCCUGGGGAGUACGGCCGCAAGGCUG
rnacentral:rRNA from 1 species